rnacentral:rRNA from 1 species
AGAGUUUGAUCCUGGCUCAGGAUGAACGCUAGCGAUAGGCUUAACACAUGCAAGUCGAGGGGCAGCAUGGUCUUAGCUUGCUAAGACUGAUGGCGACCGGCGCACGGGUGCGUAACGCGUAUGCAACUUGCCUCACAGAGGGGGAUAACCCGUCGAAAGACGGACUAAUACCGCGUACACUCUAUGUUGGGCAUCCAAUGUAGAGGAAAUGAAUUUCGCUGUGAGAUAGGCAUGCGUCCCAUUAGCUUGUUGGUGAGGUAACGGCUCACCAAGGCGACGAUGGGUAGGGGAACUGAGAGGUUGAACCCCCACACUGGUACUGAGACACGGACCAGACUCCUACGGGAGGCAGCAGUGAGGAAUAUUGGUCAAUGGGCGAGAGCCUGAACCAGCCAAGUCGCGUGAAGGAUGACUGUCUUAUGGAUUGUAAACUUCUUUUAUACGGGAAUAACAAGAGUCACGUGUGACUCCCUGCAUGUACCGUAUGAAUAAGCAUCGGCUAACUCCGUGCCAGCAGCCGCGGUAAUACGGAGGAUGCGAGCGUUAUCCGGAUUUAUUGGGUUUAAAGGGUGCGUAGGCGGCCUGUUAAGUCAGCGGUGAAAUCUAGGAGCUUAACUCCUAAAUUGCCAUUGAUACUGGCGGGCUUGAGUGUAGAUGAGGUAGGCGGAAUGCGUGGUGUAGCGGUGGAAUGCAUAGAUAUCACGCAGAACUCCGAUUGCGAAGGCAGCUUACUAAGGUACAACUGACGCUGAAGCACGAAAGCGUGGGUAUCAAACAGGAUUAGAUACCCUGGUAGUCCACGCAGUAAACGAUGAUAACUGGGCGUAUGCGAUAUACAGUAUGCUCCUAAGCGAAAGCGUUAAGUUAUCCACCUGGGGAGUACGCCGGCAACGGUGAAACUCAAAGGAAUUGACGGGGGCCCG